UUCCAAGCGAGAGGGAAGGAGGCUGGUGUUGGGUUUUGAGUAUGGGUGAGCGUGGCUUGUCCCCAGCCUCACACUGGGCUCCAUCCCCUGGAUGCUGCGCAUAGUCGGACCCUUCACUGCUCCGAGGCUUGUGUUCCCAGAAAGAGAACAGAAUUGUGCCUUCUGGACCCCAGCAGCAAGCAACUUGGAUAUUUUUUGCAGAGGCUCAGGUUGGGUCUUGCCCAGACUUUUGGCAGCUGACUUAGCUCUAGUCUCAGCUUCUAUGAAACAGACUGAUGAGUGGCACCAGCUUGUCCUUGGGAACCUUAUGGACAGAAGAUACAUGUGAGAGGAAGAAGCAUUUCAUGCUUUCUAGCUGUAGGAGCCGCUUAUAGAAGAGGGGAAUCAACAUGGAUCACUUUCAGUGGCCAAGCACUGAAGGGCGCUGUGGACACCUGAACUCCUUCAAUGGUGCUCUGUAGUGGUCCCGCCUGCACCCAAGUUACAGUGGCUUCUCAGGCUUCUCAGCAGUGUGGGUGUCCUGCCUCAGCCAGAGCAGAAAUCCCAGAGCCCUGAAAGAAGAGCUGGUGUCAUGGGGCUUCUGGUUUCAGGAUAUGCUGGAAAGGUGAGAAGGAAGCUUGUCUUCCCAUGGAUCACGGCCAGGACCCGGUGGCAGGCCUCCCCGGCCGGGAGCUGGGACGUUCCCCAGGUGCCCGGGCAUCCCCAGGUCAGUGGAGCCGCCAGCAGGUUUCCAAAGCAUUGGCCUCUGUCGGAAAGAAAAUCAUCAGCGCUUUGCAGGGACCGAGUGCUUUGUAACUGCAGACAAAACCCACCCUGAAGCUGAGUCUACCACCAGGCAGGGUCCCCUGCUCAGGGACCAGUUUGAUGGAGAGGAAUUAAAGUCCUUUGGAACUGCUUCUUGGAGGACUUGAGAGGGUCUCCAGGCCUUGGACUAGGGGCUUUGAGCACACAUUUUCCACUUCUAUCCAUCCCUCACUCCUGCACAUCUCUUUUUGAGAUCGGGUUCAGAUGCUACUCCCUGUGCUUAAUCAAGUCUAGUUCUCCCCCCAAAUGGAGAGUAAUCUGCCUCACUCUUGGCUCUACGCACUCCUUGUAAACACUUAGCCAUCUCCUGCUGGCUUGUACCACAGACACCGUGCAGCAGAUGAUUCCGAGCUGCCCACUGGGCUGCUGG